rnacentral:ncRNA from 2 species
UAUUUAUAUAACCUCCGAGUCAAUGGUUCUAAGGGUAAUUGCCUAUGAACGUUGACCGAUAGGGUCUUUUCGGAAACGAAAGGGCCUCCCGUCUGGAAAGGAGGAAGCGAUACUGUUGA